AACCCUCUCAUUCUCUCCCUCUCGCUUUCUGCGUGCGAGCUCUCGACUUCUCUUCAAGCAUUGCCUUGAUCGAUCGCGCGACUUCUCAUGGCCUCACAAUGUAUGUCAUUCACUUUCUCUCCCAAUCGAUCAAUUUUUCUGUCUCUCGAUCAUUUUUUCCCAAAAGCUUCGAAUUCAUCAAUUUAUUUGAAGUUAGGGUUCAGUGAGAGCCAUGGAAAUGUAGACUAUGAAGCCAAAUGCAUUCUCAAUCAAUUGAUCUCAAACCCUAACUGAUCUCUACACACUCCUCUGUAUCGAACGAUUCGACCUCUCUGCAAUCUCCUCUCUGAUCGCGAACUUGAACCAGUUGAAGCAAUUCAUCGAUGAUUGCAAGUCCAAUCCCUCAAUUCUCUCCGAUCUUUCUCUCUCCUUCUUCCGAGACUACCUUGAAAGAUGGGAGACUUUUCUAUCGAGGUCAUGGAAGAAAACCGUGAUGCUUCGCAGGAGGCUAAGGUGCAGGGGAAACUGGAGGAAGCAAUAGAGCAGCUCACACAGGCUAUUUUGCUCAAUCCAACCUCAGCAAUUAUGUAUUCAGGUUCUCUCAUCGCGAUCGCUUUGGCCGAAGUCUUCUUUGAAGAACUUUAUCACGUGAUGCACAAGAAAGAGUAGCAUUACUUCUGAUAUCCAUUGUCAGCAUUAAGUGGAUGACCAUAAUUCUCUCUCACUCUCUGUUUUUCUUUGAUAUCAUUUGACGUUCUCAGUUCAUUUUUCCUUGUGUUGGCUUUGGUUAAUGCUACUACUGAAUUUUCAUCACUUGUAUUCAUUUCUGGCAUUGAGACAAGGAGACCAAUUCAACUAAUUAUAUUCCUCAUUUUUUUGUUAGAGAGGAUGUUUUAUUGCUUCACUGCGGAUAAGGAAUCAGAAUGUGAUGAAUUAUGUAUUAGUUGAAUCCCAUCUCUCCUUUCCAGUCCAUCGGGAAUCAUGGACCAGAUAGAUGAGUCCUAAACAUCUUUCAAGCUGACCAGUCAUUAUCUUCACCCGGAGGAGGUUUGUACAGUUAUGGAGAACUGUAGAUGAAAGCAAUGAUUAUUGUUUUGAUCUUUAAAUUUCAAUUGCUUAGAGCAUGAAUGUGAUACAAUUGCGCUGGGUCAACACUCUUGGGGGCAUAAACGAAAAGCUACUAUCAAAGAUAAAGGUGGAAACAAAAGAACUUAUACAAUGGAGGUUGAGGAAGAGGAGGAGACAGAUGAUGAUGAACUGGUUGGCUCCUUAUCAACCUUGGGGUCAAUGUCAGCAUAGAAUUGGGUCAUAGGAUAUCAGUCCCAAUCUUCUUGACAUCUUCAGUGAAUCACUGAUUGCUUUUUAUGGGAUCUGCUACUAUUCUUUGCCUUGAUCCUGACUCAAUCCAUCACCUUUUGAGGAUUGCUGGAUUGGGAGUGGGAGUCUUCCUUCUUCUAGCUCGUAGAAUCAGCGUGCCAAAGGUUGAUUCUUGGAAUGUAGUUUUGGUUGUAAAACAAAAGCCACCUUUUUUUUUUCUUUUUUUUUUUUUUUUUUUUUUUUUUUUUUUUUUUUUUAAGAAUCUGAUGCAUCUAUCUGCUUUUCUUUUCUUUUGUACUCUUUUUGUUUCCCAUUCAAAUUUUUUGGAUCAAUACAUGUUUUCUUUGAAGGAUGCAACUUUUUAUUUUACUCGGUCUUGUGAUCUGUAAGUUUUUGAAUCAUGUAAAAUACCAAUGAUAUAUUCUUUGAUUUGUUUC